rnacentral:rRNA from 1 species
UACGGAGGGUGCAAGCGUUAUCCGGAUUUACUGGGUUUAAAGGGUGCGCAGGCGGAUAUGUAAGUCAGUGGUGAAAUCUCUAGGCUUAACCUGGAAAUUGCCGUUGAUACUAUAUAUCUUGAAUGCUGUGGAGGUAAGCGGAAUAUGUCAUGUAGCGGUGAAAUGCUUAGAUAUGACAUAGAACACCUAUUGCGAAGGCAGCUUACUACGCAGAUAUUGACGCUCAUGCACAAAGCGUGGGGAUCAAACAGGA